ACAGUUUAGAGGGGAAAGAAGAAAGAAAAAUAAACUAAUCUUGAAUAAAACCCAAUGUAAUCACUUUUAUUAGAAAAAGUACACUUCAAACACCAUAGUUCAGUCCUCACUUCUGUCUGGAUUGCUUUAUUCUGCAACACAAUGGGAAGAGCCAGCCUUCUGUUGCCCUUUCCAUGAGUUUAUGAACUUUGUUUUGUGCACACAAAGCUGGACAGUAACCAUGACAGAGAUGACCAGGGCUUUCUUCGAGCCAGGAGCAAACUGAUAGCAGUGAUCACCAAACACUUUCAGAGCUUUCUUCACUAAAACAGAUGGGCUUUCAUCUUAGAGACAAAAAUAAAAACACUGUCGGCAAUAUAUUGAAACUUAAUGAGAAAGCAGGCUCCUUGGUUGGUGCAGAAAUUAUUUAUUUAUUGAAGAAUAAUUUAGCUGUAAUGAUGAUCCCUUUCUCUCUCUCUCUCUUUUGCAAACAAGAAUUAGUGUAUGUGGAUCCUUUGUACGUCCUUGGACAUAAAUCUGAACCUGUUUAAAAAUUGUUUAGCAUAAUCCUAGAGCAUCAUCUGUUUCAUGCUGUUUAUUUUGGCUCUGAUGCUGUCACAGAUGUUCAUGAUUACAGAAUGAAAACAUGGCAGCACUGUAGUAGGUGGCUCACCAUGGAAUGCAAAAGCAAUGAAGGACAUGAAGGACCCCAGUAAACUUUACAAAUGUGGGAACUUGAAGCUUCUCAAAGGUCAAAUGGUGAAAUUCCCAUGGUGGAUUACAGGUUGAGUUUGGUUUGCCAUGGGAUUUGUAUGCCCAGUUUAAAGAGUUCCUCCACUGUGAGCCAGCUCAGGGGUCAGGCAGGCUCAGGCUUCUCUUCAGAUUAGCAGUCAGCAAGCCAAACAGGCAGUGAGCACAAGGUGGCUCUGCUGUGAGUGUGGAGUGCUUGGAAUGGUUUGUUUCCAGAAAUAUCUAACUCUCUGAGGAGAUCCUGAGCUACUCUUCAUGAUUCUGCCUCUCCUUUCCACUGAUGCUCCAGCUACUGUGGGACCCCCAAGAGGAAUUUCUGCUCAGAAUACAGGGAAGAGCAGCAGCUGGGACUCAGAAAAAAUACUUGGAGCAAGAUGAAAGAAGGAAGAGGAAAGGCAAGAAAUCAAGAACUUCAAAGGAGACAAGCCAGGGCCAUAUGAAAAGAAAUUACAUUUUAGCUUUGUAUUAAGAAAAUUUAUAUUAUAUUGUAAUAAUUAUAUUAUAAAUAUCAGUGAGCAUCUUUCUUGUCAGGUUAUUGUUUGGCAUGUGUGGUGUCAAAAAGCUUCAUUUCCAGACUGGGCAAUUUCUUACAAUUUGUUUAAAAAUUUAUCUCUGUAAGUAUUGUAGUAUGGAAGGCUGAUUUCUGACUAAUCGAGAAUAAAACUAGUCCUCCAUUAUGGAAA